UACGUAGGUGGCGAGCGUUGUCCGGAUUUACUGGGCGUAAAGGAUGCGUAGGCGGAUAUUUUAAGUGAGAUGUGAAAAUACCCCGAGCUUAACUUUGGGGUGCUGCAUUUUCAAAACUGGAUAUCUAGAGUGUGGGGAGAGGUGAGUGGAAUUCCUGGUGUAGCGGUGAAAAUGCGCAGAUAUCAGGAGGAACACCAACGGCGAAGGCAGCACUCUGGGCCGGUACUGACGCUGAGGGAGCGAAAGCGUGGGGAGCAAACAGG
rnacentral:rRNA from 1 species